GAGUUUGAGCCUGGCUCUGGACGAACGCUGGCGGCGUGCUUAACACAUGCAAGUCGAGCGAUGAAACACCUUCGGGUGUGAAUUAGCGGCGAACGGGUGAGGAACACGUGAAGAAUCUGCCUUCAACUCUGGGAUAACUCCGGGAAACCGGGGCUAAUACCGGAUAUGAGCCUUGAUCGCAUGAUCGGGGCUGGAAAGUUUUUCGGUUGAAGAUGACUUCGCGGCCUAUCAGCUUGUUGGUGAGGUAAUGGUUCACCAAGGCGACGACGGGUAGCCGGCCUGAGAGGGCGACCGGCCACACUGGGACUGAGACACGGCCCAGACUCCUACGGGAGGCAGCAGUGGGGAAUAUUGGGCAAUGGAGGAAACUCUGACCCAGCGACGCCGCGUGAGGGAUGAAGGUCUUCGGGUUGUAAACCUCUUUCAGUAGGGAAGAAGCGAAAGUGACGGUACCUACAGAAGAAGCACCGGCUAACUAUGUGCCAGCAGCCGCGGUAAUACAUAGGGUGCAAGCGUUGUCCGGAAUUAUUGGGCGUAAAGAGCUCGUAGGUGGUUCGAUACGUCGGAUGUGAAAAUCAGGGGCUCAACCCCUGACCUGCAUCCGAUACGGUCGAGCUGGAGUUUGGUAGGGGAGACUGGAAUUCCUGAUGUAGCGGUGGAAUGCGCAGAUAUCAGGAGGAACACCGAUGGCGAAGGCAGGUCUCUGGGCCAAUACUGACACUGAGGAGCGAAAGCGUGGGGAGCGAACAGGAUUAGAUACCCUGGUAGUCCACGCCGUAACGUCGGCGCUGGUGUGCGAACUUCACGGUUUGUGCGACGCAGCUAACGCAUUAAGCGUCUCGCCUGGGGNNUACGAUCGCAGAUAAACUCAAAGGAUUGACUGGGNCCCCGCANANCAGCGGAGCAUGC
rnacentral:rRNA from 1 species